rnacentral:sRNA from 1 species
CCUAGAUCAGAGAUGAGACCAAAAGUAAAAGAAUCAACAGCCAAACCGACACAGGUGUUAUUAAAGGACUUACUGUUUAAACAUGCCUAAACCCUGUGCCUUGAGUGUGCAAGCUGACUUAUUAGAAAAGGACAGGGCUGGCUGACCUGUCCCUAUCAGUCCCAAGUCAUGCACCCUGUGCCCCGGGAAGUGGGCAGUGACCCCAUGCUGGCAGUGUGGCAUCACAGGCCCGGGGCAGGGAGUGCUGUGUAAACCUGGGAUGUAGAGCCACAUUCCCCCUCUCCCUGUGCAUGCUGGGCUUGGCCCCACAUUAUGCCAAGGGAAGCGGGACCUCUUUUCUCAUUGGCCAUCCUAGCCACCCCUCCCUGCCUUGUGCCUGCAUGAGGCUGGGAGACUUGAUGAAUACAGAAUCCCUGAAGGACUCUGUUCCUUCUUCAAAAGCUUUAAGGAAGCAUGGUUUGUAUGAGAAAUGGCUAAUCAGAAAGGGAUGAUGUUUCAUAGGUAUGAAAGAUGGGCAAAAGAUACUAUUUCAUGGAGAAGGAGAUCAGGAGCCUGAGCUGGAGCCUGGUGAUGUCAUAAUUGUGCUUGAUCAGAAGGAUCAUAGUGUCUUUCAGAGACGAGGCCAUGACUUGAUCAUGAAAAUGAAAAUUCAGCUUUCUGAAGCUCUUUGUGGCUUCAAGAAGACGAUAAAAACAUUGGACAAUCGAAUUCUUGUUAUUACAUCCAAAGCAGGUGAGGUGAUAAAGCACGGGGACCUGAAAUGCGUGUGCGAUGAAGGAAUGCCCAUCUACAAAGCACCCCUGGAAAAAGGGAUUCUGAUCAUACAGUUUUUAGUAAUCUUUCCUGAAAAACACUGGCUUUCUCUGGAAAAGCUUCCUCAGCUGGAAGCUUUACUCCCUCCUCGACAGAAAGUGAGGAUUACAGAUGACAUGGAUCAGGUGGAGCUGAAGGAGUUUUGUCCCAAUGAGCAGAACUGGCGUCAGCACAGGGAGGCCUACGAGGAGGACGAAGACGGGCCCCGGGCUGGAGUGCAGUGCCAGACGGCAUGAUGUGGUGCGGGGCAGCGUGGCCCCACCGGACUAGCACAUGAUGAAUGUAAAGUUGGCACAAUGAAAAUGGCAUCGCUUUAAUGGC